rnacentral:rRNA from 1 species
UACGUAGGGCGCAAGCGUUGUCCGGAAUUAUUGGGCGUAAAGAGCUCGUAGGUGGCUGGUCGCGUCUGCCGUGAAAGCCCGCAGCUUAACUGCGGGUCUGCGGUGGAUACGGGCCGGCUAGAGGUAGGUAGGGGCAAGUGGAAUUCCUGGUGUAGCGGUGAAAUGCGCAGAUAUCAGGAAGAACACCCGUGGCUAAGGCGGUUCUCUAGUACGGUACUGACGCUGAGACGCGAAAGCGUGGGGAGCGAACAGG